CCUACGGGGGGCAGCAGUGAGGAAUAUUGGUCAAUGGGCUUACGCCUGAACCAGCCAAGUCGCGUGAGGGAAGACUGCCCUAUGGGUUGUAAACCCCUUCUGCCAGGGAGCAAGUGGCGCUACGUGUAGCGUUAUCGAUAGUACCUGAAGAAAAAGCAUCGGCUAACUCCGUGCCAGCAGCCGCGGUAAUACGGAGGAUGCGAGCGUUAUCCGGAUUGAUUGGGUUUACAGGGGGCGUAGGCGGAAUGCCAAGUCAGCGGUAAAAUCGCGGGGCUCAACCUCGCUCCGCCGUUGAAACUGGCGUUCUUGAGGGGGCGAGAGGUCAGCGGAAUGCGUGGUGUAGCGGUGAAAUGCGUAGAUAUCACGCAGAACUCCGGUUGCGAAGGCGGCAUACCGGCGCCCAACUGACGCUGAAGCGCGAAAGCGUGGGUAUCGAACAGGAUUAGAUACCCUUGUAGUC
rnacentral:rRNA from 1 species